rnacentral:rRNA from 1 species
GAUGAACGCUGACAGAAUGCUUAACACAUGCAAGUCAACUGUGGCGGACGGGUGAGUAACGCGUAAAGAACUUGCCUCCCAGAUAGGGACAACAUUUGGAAACGAAUGCUAAUACCUGAUACUGUGAGAGAGCUUUGCGUCCCAUUAGCUAGUUGGACAGGUAACGGCUCACCAAGGCGAUGAUGGGUAGCCGGGCUGAGAGGGUGAUCGGCCACAAGGGGACUGAGACACGGCCCUUAAUCCUACGGGAGGCAGCAGUGAGGAAUAUUGGACAAUGGACCAAAGUCUGAUCCAGCAAUUCUUUGUGCACGAUGAAGUUUUCGGAAUGUAAAGGGUUUUCAGUUGGGAAGCAGUACCAACAGAAGAAGUGACGGCUAAAUACGUGCCAGCAGCCGCGGUAAUUC